rnacentral:rRNA from 1 species
AUCUAUGGCCAUGCUACCCUGAACAAGCUCGAUCCCGUCUGAUCUCGGAAGCUAAGCAGGGUCGGGCCUGGUUAGUACUUGGAUGGGAGACCACCUAGGAAGAUUGGGUGUUGUAGGUA